UUCCAGUGUUUUUUUGGUACCUCGUUUUUUAAUUAUUUUGUGCGUUAUUCAUACGGUUUUAGUAUAAUUUUCUUGUGAAUCGUGUGUUGCUCAUCGCUUUAGAAGUAGGUAUUCUUGCAUUAUUUUAUUUUUGGACAAAUAUAUAAGAGGCGCAUCAAAACUUUUUAUUUCUCCGUUCCUGGUACAUAUUCUUGAACCUGCAUAGACUACUUGAUUAAAUUGAACAUAUACAUGCAUGUGCAAGAGUAUUUCCAUCUGACACUGGAUUUAAACGCAGGCUUUUAGAAAUGGAUAUGAAAGAAGAAUCAGAUAACUUUAUUAUUCAAAGUACUUCAAGAAUGGAAGAAAUUAAAAAGAAUACUGCCAAUGAUAUUGAAUUACCUCCUGAAAUAAAGCAAAUUGGGUAUGAACUUGUAAAAGUUAUGGAGCAAAAUCCGGGUCUUGAUCCAAAAAAAGU